GAGGCUAUAGCUCAGUGGUAGAGUACAUGCCUAGCAUGCACGAGGUCAUGGGUUCAAUCCCCAGCAUUUCCA
rnacentral:tRNA from 1 species